UUCUCCUCGAAAUACGUUGAGGCGCAACAGUUGACUGGACAUCUAGGGGUAAAGCACUGUUUCGGUGCAGGCCGCGAGAGCGGUACCAAAUCGAGGCAAACUCUGAAUACUAGAUAUGAUCUCCAAAUAAUAGGGGUCAAGGUUGGCCAAUGAGACGAUGGGGGAUAAGCUUCAUCAUCGAGGGGGAAACAGCCCGGAUCACCAACUAAGGCCCAAAAAUGACCGCUCAGUGAUAAAUGAGGUUGGGGUGCAGAGACAACCAGGAGGUUUGCCUAGAAGCAGCCACCCUUGAAAGAGUGCGUAAUAGCUCACUGAUUGAGCGCUCUUGCGCCAAAGAUGAACAGGGGUAAGCGAUCUGCUGAAGCUGUGGGAUGUAAAAACACAUCGGUAGGGGAGCGUUUUGCCUUAGAGGGAAGCACCCACAAGAGCAGGGGUGGACAAAGUGGAAGCG
rfam:Eucalyptus grandis cultivar BRASTZ1 unplaced genomic scaffold scaffold_3, whole genome shotgun sequence.